UACGAGGGGUGCAAGCGUUGCUCGGAAUUAUUGGGCGUAAAGGGUAGGUAGGUGGUCUCAUUUGUCUGGGGUGAAAGCCUUGAGCUUAACUCAAGAAGUGCCCCAGAAACGGUGAGACUCGAGUACUGGAGAGGGUCGUGGAAUUCCUGGUGUAGCGGUGAAAUGCGCAGAUAUCAGGAGGAACACCAGCGGCGAAGGCGGCGCUCUGGGCCGGUACUGACGCUGAGGUGCGAAAGCGUGGGGAGCAAACAGG
rnacentral:rRNA from 1 species